ACCACGGGGGAAAAUAAAAGCGGCUCCGAGCACCCUGCUGAAGGCAGCGCUUGCUUACCCACCCUCCCCAGACUGUGUGCUACUGGCCGUGAGGGAAAUAAGUGGGAAAAAAUGGGUGUAAUGAGGGAAAAAUCCCCGUAUUGGGCCUCCACCAACAGCGAGGCGCAGUGACUGACAGGAAACAGUGAAAAGGGGGGAUCUAGACAGGAAAAGGUGAGCUCUCAGUUUCCUGCUGUGAAAUAUAGGUCCUUUGCCACCUUCCCUGCAGACACUGAUGAGGGAAAGGUAGGAAGUUAACCAGCUCAAGCAGUCUUUCACCAGUGAAGCUCUGCAAAAAGCUGUAUUCUUAAAACAAACAAACAAAUCCCACCACUUUCGGUAGCAGAAGCAGCUCCAUUUUCCACAGUCUGUUUCCUAAGUGUGGCAACUCGGUUGCAAAGACUGCAGAGCCACCUCAGAGCAUCGUUGGUUAUAAGGAGGUCCCCAGCACCAAGAUUUACUCUUUUUAAGGGGCUGCACAGACCAUCUCCCGGACUCUAUGGAAGCAAAAGGUGCUGAUGAACUGCGAUAUUUCAUCUCCAAUACAUGUGCUUCAGUCCAGACAGCAGUUGUUCCAUGCCAUGCUAAAGG